rnacentral:lncRNA from 1 species
CUGGGCCAGACUAGCCUAACCCACAUCGUCGACAAGACUCAUUUUAAAUAGUUUUAGACAGUCUGUUAAAGUGAACUUUAUCGACAAGUCAGUCAAACUCGUGCAUAAGGGGCAACCCAUAUCAUUUCGACCUGGGUUUGACCCUCAACCUCUCGGAUUGGGCCGACGAUUAAUUAUAUGAUUGUUCUCACUGUGAAAGACUUUUCUUGUGGCACCUCAACACCGCGGGUAACUGAAUCUGUAUCUGACACCCACGUUUCCGAGUUAUCAAAAUGGCCGUACCGAUGUGGUUGAACUCGGAUUACAUAAAAGCCGUCUUACGGAAAGUCGAGAAAAAUGAUUCCAUUGAAGUGUCAGAUAUGACCGUAAAGCCAGCCACGGCCAACGGUGACAAUUACAUGAGUGAUAUGCAUCGCAUCGGCGUCAAAUUCUUGCGGGUUCUUGACGGACGGCAAGUGACGGAGACAAGGUCUUUCAUAGCGAAGAUCGCCAUUGCAGAAGGUAUUCAAGCAAAAAUGGUAAUGUCAAAAAUUGAUCUCCAGUUAUGUAAUAACUGUCAGAAUCAACCUGUGACACAUCAAUUAUGCAUCUAUCAAAUGUUUAAAAGGAGUGACAUUUUCUUAUACGAAAUUUCAAAAAUAACCGCAACUGUACGGGUAUUCCAAAAGUUCAAAGUUGUUACUGCAAAAUAUGCGUGAAAACAAUUUCCACUGCGUGUAGUCACUAGACUUUAAAUUAUACUUAAUACCGAUGUUUCAAACCUUUUUUCAAAUUGAAUUGUAAUUUCAAAAAAUAAAUCGUGUG